CUCAUCCAGCAUAACCAAAGUCCUGAUACCAGCAUCUUUACUCUAUGCAUCAAGAGCCAUGGUGAAGAAGUGUGGAAAAGAGGGUGAAAUACAUGGAAAACAAAGUGGAGAAUAAAGGACAAAGAAAAUGAGUGAAAUACUCCAGAGACUCUAAAGGCUGCAAUAUUACGCUCUCAUCUCCACCAGUGAAUGUCAUCUUCUGCUUUGGUUAAAGAUCAGGGAGCACCAAUCUAAAAUUGAUUGACCCAUCACCCAGGCUGUGUACUGAAUCUGAUGCAAGACCUCUCAGGGUCCUCGCUUAACCUCUGAUGAAUGAACUCAUUUAGAUUCUGAUGAGUGCAUAAAAAUGUCAGGUCAGUGAAAGUCAUCGAGAAUUCUUUGUGGCAGUAUUCUUGAAUAACCUAAAAGUUAAGGACAAUUUGAGAGACCAGACCAGAGGGGAAAUGAUGGGCCAAAAC